UUUAGGGAGACCCGAAUCAAUUGAAAAGAUUAUGAAUAUUGAAUUCAUAAUUUUGAUUGAUGUAUCCCGAGGUCGGUCGAGGAAAAGUUGUUGGCUUUCAAACUAUGAUUGGUUCGAUUCAAGUCGCACAAAGACAGCCGAAGAAAAAAGUACGGUUGUGAGUGGGUAAACAGUCAAAUCGAUUGUGACACUUAAAAGUGGCGACUGCAAGUAUUGCGAAAAAGCAAUAAUUGAUUGGAGAAAUUGCUUCAGCAAUCUUGCUUGAAACAGCAAGACUGCUGGAUGUGUAUUCAGCCAGAACCUUGAAAACUGCAUAGUAACGCGAAACAAGCAGGUAGACACAGACAUGACAUGAUUGCAUGGAUGAAAGUGUUUGCUAAAUUGAACCAAAUGUUGAGU
rnacentral:misc_RNA from 1 species